rnacentral:rRNA from 1 species
CAAUAGCGUAUAUUAAAGUUGUUGCAGUUAAAAAGCUCGUAGUUGGAUUUCUGGGAGGGUGCCAAUGUCCGCCGUCGUGCGUGCGCAGCGGCGCCCUUCCAUCCUUCUGUUAACGCCUCUUGGCAUUCAUUUGCUGGUGGCGGGCUCAGAUAUUUUACCUUGAGAAAAUUAGAGUGUUUCAGGCAGGCUAGGCCGGAAUACAUUAGCAUGGAAUAAUGGAAUAGGACUACGGUCUCGUUGUUGGUUUGAGGGACUGCAGUAAUGAUUAAUAGGGAUAGUUGGGGGCAUUAGUAUUUAAUUGUCAGAGGUGGAAUUCUCGGAUUUGUUAAAGACUAGCUUAUGCGAAAGCAUUUGCCAAGGAUGUUUUCAUUAA